AUCCAGUCUUGGCAAGAUGGCUGUCUGGUGAAAGAGAAAAGGAUCCUGGGGAAGGAGAGGAAGCACGCACAGUGCUGCAAAGGGAAGAGCAAGUCAUUAGGAAAACAACUGAAACCAACAUAAUGUAAUAUAAUUUGAUUCUGGGCAAGCUGAGGGCAGAGAUGCAGACAGCAGUCCCUGUGAGGCCCGGCUCAGUGACACCCACGCCUGGCUGCAUUUGUCCAGGUAUGACCCAAGAUUUACGCCUUUGUUUGAACCACCAGUGCUUUUCUAAAAGAUUAUGAUGUGCGUGCUCUCAGCUUGUUUCCAACUCAAGAAAAACAGAAGAGCCACAGGAAGACAUGCACCUGCGACGACCACGAAGAAGAUGUGAUGUCACCGUAGCUGCUGUACUGUCGACUGCUGAGUCCCGCUUUGAAGACUGAAGAUGGCCGUUUCCCCCGUCGACAUCUUGGUUGCACAAAAACUAGAUGAGGCAAGAAAGGUCAAAGGUCAGUCUUCUGAGGAUGCCGACGUUCACAUUUUGGACUGACGUUUGAGAGAGGAGUAAAGGAGGCCAUCUAUGACCAGAGGUUACAACGGCAGUCCUUAAACACCUGUGAAUGGAUCUAAACCCCCACUCACACCUUGCCUCAGGUGACCUCACAUGAUGGUCAGCUGGGGCAACAUCAUACAGAGGUUUCAUAGUGUGGCUCUGGUGAUGGUCGCACCCAAUGCUUUUUUCACAUCCUG
ensembl:lncRNA